rnacentral:lncRNA from 1 species
UUAAACUUCUUUUUCAUUUCAGUAAUUGCAAUUUCAUAAAUUUUCCCUCCCUCGUUAAAAUCGACAAACAAAUUAGCAAGUGCGGCAAUAUAACUAAACAGUUAGAAAUAGUUGGAUAAUAUUGGCUAGAUAAAGCAGUUGUAGCCAUAUGAAAAUGUUCUAAAAAAUCUAAAAGAAUUUUAACGUUAGUCCAAUCUUGAUUAGUUAGCAU